GACGAACGCUGGCGGCGUGCUUAACACAUGCAAGUCGAACGGAAAGGCCCUGCUUUUGUGGGGUGCUCGAGUGGCGAACGGGUGAGUAACACGUGAGUAACCUGCCCUUGACUUUGGGAUAACUUCAGGAAACUGGGGCUAAUACCGGAUAGGAGCUCCUGCUGCAUGGUGGGGGUUGGAAAGUUUCGGCGGUUGGGGAUGGACUCGCGGCUUAUCAGCUUGUUGGUGGGGUAGUGGCUUACCAAGGCUUUGACGGGUAGCCGGCCUGAGAGGGUGACCGGCCACAUGAGGACUGAGAUACGGCCCAGACUCCUACGGGAGGCAGCAGUGGGGAAUAUUGCACAAUGGGCGGAAGCCUGAUGCAGCAACGCCGCGUGCGGGAUGACGGCCUUCGGGUUGUAAACCGCUUUAGCCUGUGACGAAGCGUGAGUGACGGUAAUGGGUAAAGAAGCACCGGCUAACUACGUG
rnacentral:rRNA from 1 species